CCUACGGGUGGCAGCAGUAGGGAAUAUUGCUCAAUGGGGGCAACCCUGACGCAGCAACGCCGCGUGGAGGAUGAAGGUUUUAGGAUUGUAAACUCCUUUUGUGAGAAAAGAUACUGACGGUAUCCCCCGAAUAAGCACCGGCUAACUCCGUGCCAGCAGCCGCGGUAAUACGGAGGGUGCAAGCGUUACUCGGAAUCACUGGGCGUAAAGCGUGCGGGCGGGCUUGUUAGUGAGAUGUGAAAUCACGUAGCUUAACUACAGAACUGGAUUUGAAACUAUGAGUAUAGAGUGUGGGAGGGGUAGGGGGAAUUCUUGGGGGAGGGGGAGAAUCCGUAGAUAUUAAGAGGAAUACUCAGUGCGAAGGCGACCUACUGGAACAUUACUGACGCUCAUGCACGAAAGCGCGGGGAGCAAACAGGAUUAGAUACCCCGGUAGUC
rnacentral:rRNA from 1 species